CGCAUCUGUGCAUGCAGCAUAUCAAUAAGCGGAGGAAAAGAAACUAACAAGGAUUCCCUUAGUAACGGCGAGUGAAGCGGGAAGAGCUCAAAUUUGAAAUCUUCAAGGUUUUACCUUGACGAAUUGUAGUUUAAAGAAGUGUUUUCUGUUGAAGUUUUGGUAAAAGUUCUUUGGAAUAGGACAUCAUAGAGGGUGAGAAUCCCGUAUUUGACCAUUAUUUUCAGCUGUGUGAUACACUUUCAAAGAGUCGGAUUGUUUGGGAAUGCAGUCCGAAAAUGGGUGGUAAAUUUCAUCUAAAGCUAAAUAUUGGCGAGAGACCGAUAGCGAACAAGUACCGUGAGGGAAAGAUGAAAAGAACUUUGAAAAGAGAGUUAAACAGUACGUGAAAUUGUCAAAAGGGAAGCGUUUGACACCAGUGUUAGUUUUCUCGAAAAUCAAUUAAAAAGAGUUAGAUUUUGUUGUGUAUUGACCUUAACAGCUUGCAUUUCAAUUUUCUUGCUUUUUUUAAUGCACUUUUCGUUUAACAAGUCAACAUCAGUUUCUUUUGUUGUAAAAAGGUCAUUGGAAGGUGGCUUUCUUUUCGGAGAAAGUGUUUAUAGCCUUUGACUCCUGCAAUCGGAGAGACUGAGGUCUGCAGCGUAGAUCCUUCGGGGUUAGAUACAUUUGUGCUAAGUUAUAGCUUUUUAUAGACAACUUGUUGACUAUGAUUAGUCUUGUAGCUUACUCGCUUAUGCUAUUUUACCUACGCUUAGGAUGUUGAUGUGAUACUGCGAGC
rnacentral:rRNA from 1 species